AGAAUGAAAACAGCAGUAAUGAACAGGGACGAGGCAAAGACUUUUGUUAAGCUGCAUUGCUCAGAUCAUUUGCAGGAAGAAGAGAGAGAAAGAAAGGAAAAUCUGACAAUAUGGAGGUUACAAAGAAACAAAGAAAACUCUAAUAAUUAUUCUAAGUAGUUAUGAUUGUGGUGAACAAACAACACAACUGAAUACCAGAGCAAGACACCUGACACAUUUGGAGUAGCCCAAAAUCACAUGUUGGUGUUUCAUCUUCAUACAUGUUGCUUUUCAUUAAUCUAAAGGCACUCCACAGUCUCUCAACUCCUCAUGAAUUGAAAUGCCCAAAAGUUAGACUCGCUUUUAUUGUUAUCAUUUUUUUGCCAAAUAGCUUACGAUCCGACGGAAGUGGAUUGCGUUCACUUGAGAAAUGAAGGGCCAAUUUGUUUUACAGUUGUUUUCCUGAGGUGAAUUAAACUUCAGAAGAUAAUCAUCUCUAUGCAUUUCAUGUCCAAAAAUGCCUUUAUCAGGGACAAAGCAGACGUCCAGGAGUCGUUUUUUGAAUUACUCGCCUUGGCCCCAGCUACCAGGACCGCCAAUCAGCCAGGACUCACCAAGGAUAAAACCCCUCAAGGUGACUUUGAAAAUGGGAUAAGCCGACCAGAAAUUUCAGAUGCCAGCGAAAUAGUCCGCUAGUAAUAUUUAAAUAUUUAAAGUAAGUCAUUACAGCUACUGGGAGUCAGCGCCAAUCAGCCUGGACUCAGUCAAGGAGCAACGCUCAAACUAACAAAAAUCACCAGAGGUUACAAAGAAACAUGAAGGUUUUUAUUAAGGCACAACACUUGCUUCAUUUACAGAAAGGAAAUCUUUAUAAAGAUGUAGCAGUCAUUUAUUUCUGUGGUGAAUUUACAAAAACAAUUUAUGGGGCAGCAUAACUACUUUUCCACAAUUUGUUGUUGUAUACCUAUUACAUGAGUUUGCUUACUCCUCUUUUCAGAGAAGCAAGACAGGUUUCCAAUGUCAGAUAAAAGUAAGUUUCACGGGAAAGUUACUAAUAUAUUUUUGGAUUCAUAUCUAGAUUAAGUGUUCCUUUUGUCAUGCAAACUUUUUCUUAUGGAUGUAUUAGAUCAGCCUUUAUUUGUCUCACAGGUGAGAAAUUUCAAACAUUACAUGAAAUAAAGUAAAGUGAUAAGUGACAUUAAACAUAAUACUAACAAUAACAAAAAUUAUACAAUACUAAAAUGAAAAAGAAACUAUCUUUUUACAACUAUAAAACAAAUAACCAAAAAUGAAACAGUGCAAGAGAUGAUAUGCAUGUUAGCGUGCUUAUCCUUUAAAACAGAUAAAACUAAUUCCAAUCUUAAACAAUGCAACGUGACAUUGUGCAUAGAUUUGCACUCUGAGUUGUGAUUAUAAAGUCUCACGGAUGCAGGAAGAGAAGAUCUUCUGAAGCUCUCCUUCACGUUGAAGGAGCUGGUGGUCAUACCUCAGUAUUGUGAUAUUAUCUUUUAUAGGGUUAGAUUCUGACACAAUGUCUUUGUUGUCAUUAGGAUUCCAAAGAAAAGUGCUGAUGCAGCUUGUCGAAAUAAAAGAAGAAGUUAGAGGGAUUGCACAAAGGGUGGAACCAGACGUUGGCUGAGUCAAACUUUGUGGGUACGAAUAAAAAUGAUCUUAAGUUAUUAAAAUAGUUUUUUGUUCAUAGUAUUUAUAUUUAUUGUAUUUAUAAUAUUUUAUUUUUGUCAUUGACUUUUUGUCGUCAUGUUGUAUCUUAAGCUGUUAAAUUUUGUCUUUUUUUAACUAAAUAAAAAAUCUUUUAUUUGU